rnacentral:rRNA from 1 species
GACGAACGCUGGCGGCGUGCUUAACACAUGCGAGUCGAACGGUAAGGCCCUUCGGGGUACACGAGUGGCGAACGGGUGAGUAACACGUGGGUGAUCUGCCCUGCACUUCGGGAUAAGCCUGGGAAACUGGGUCUAAUACCGGAUAGGACCCUGGGAUGCAUGUCAUGGGGUGGAAAGCUUUUGCGGUGUGGGAUGGGCCCGCGGUCUAUCAGCUUGUUGGUGGGGUGAUGGCCUACCAAGGCGACGAUGGGUAGCCGGCCUGAGAGGGUGACCGGCCACACUGGGACUGAGAUACGGCCCAGACUCCUACGGGAGGCAGCAGUGGGGAAUAUUGCACAAUGGGCGCAAGCCUGAUGCAGCGACGCCGCGUGAGGGAUGACGGCCUUCGGGUUGUAAACCUCUUUCAGCACCGACGAAGCGCAAGUGACGGUAGGUGCAGAAGAAGGACCGGCCAACUACGUGCCAGCCGCCGCCGUAA